rnacentral:rRNA from 1 species
GAUGAACGCUAGCGGAAGGCAUAAUACAUGCAAGUCGGACGGAUGUAGCAAUACAUUAGUGGCGCACGGGUGCGUAACGCGUAUGCAACCUACCUUCAUCAGGGGGAUAACUACGCGAAAGGGUGGCUAACACCGCAUAAUACUACUGAAUGGCAUCAUUGGGUAUUUAAAUCUGAGGAGGAUGAAGAUGGGCAUGCGUCUGAUUAGCUAGUUGGUGUGGUAACGGCGCACCAAGGCGACGAUCAGUAGGGGAACUGAGAGGUUGGUCCCCCACACUGUCACUGAGAUACGGGCCAGACUCCUACGGGAGGCAGCAGUAGGGAAUAUUGGUCAAUGGUGGGAACACUGAACCAGCCAUUCCGCGUGCAGGAAGAAGGGUCUCUGACUUGUAAACUGCUUUAGCAAGGGAACAAAAAGCUCAUGCGUGAGAAAUUGACGGUACCUUGAGAAUAAGCACCGGCUAACUACGUGCCAGCAGCCGCUGUAA